UACGUAGGGUGCGAGCGUUGUCCGGAAUUAUUGGGCGUAAAGAGCUCGUAGGCGGUUUGUUGCGUCUAUCGUGAAAACCUGCAGCUUAACUGUGGGCUUGCGGUGGAUACGGGCAGACUUGAGUUCGGUAGGGGAGACUGGAAUUCCUGGUGUAGCGGUGAAAUGCGCAGAUAUCAGGAGGAACACCGGUGGCGAAGGCGGGUCUCUGGGCCGAUACUGACGCUGAGGAGCGAAAGCCAGGGGAGCAAACGGG
rnacentral:rRNA from 1 species